AUGAAUGAAUGAAUGAAUGAAUGAAUGAAUGUUUUAAUUCAGGUUUAAUAAUAAUACUGGAGAGAUGUUGAACAGGAACAGCCUAUUUAAGGUGUGAUCAAGGCAUCUUAAUCAAAUUAGGUUUGACCAGGCCACUCCUAAACCUUAACUUUGUUAUUGUUUAACAUUCAGAGGUGGACUUGCUGGUGUGCUUUGAAUUAUUAUCCUGCUUCAUAACCCAAAAUCGCUUGAGCUUAAUGUCACAAACUGAUGGGCAGACAUUCAUCUUCGAGAUUUUCUGGUAAAAUGAGGAAUUCAUGGUUCCAUCAAUUAUGGCAAGCAAUCUAGGUCUUUAAGUAGACCCAAACCAUAACACUACCACCACCAUGUUUUAAUGUCAGUGUUAUGCUCUUUUUCUAAAAUAUUUUAUCAGUUUUACAUCAAAUGUAAUAAGACACACACCUUCUGAAACGUUCAAAUUUUGUCUCAUCAGUUCAGAAAAACUUUUUUCAAAUGUCUCGGAGACCAUCAAGAUGUUUUUAUGGUAAAUGUGAAACAGACGUUUUUGUCAGCAGUGGUUUUGGCCUUUUUUGCCUCAUUUCUUUCUUAUUUUCCUUUUAUGACCUCUGCAAUAAGUUGUUGAGACACUCUUUUCCAUUUUUGGAUAAUGGCUUUGAUUGCUGUUCAUUGUAAUCUUGAUGCCUUAGAAAUUGCUUUGUAACCUUUUCCAAUGUGAUAAAUGUCAUUAGAUUUGUAUCUCAUCUGUUUUUAAAUUUCUUCAGAUCA